UACAGAGGGUGCAAGCGUUGUUCGGAAUUAUUGGGCGUAAAGCGCGUGUAGGCGGCCUUGCAAGUCGGGUGUGAAAGCCCUCAGCUCAACUGAGGAAGCGCGCCCGAAACUGCAGAGCUUGAGUACCGGAGAGGAUGGCGGAAUUCCCCAAGUAGAGGUGAAAUUCGUAGAUAUGGGGAGGAACACCGGUGGCGAAGGCGGCCAUCUGGACGGAUACUGACGCUGAGACGCGAAAAGCGUGGGGAGCAACAGG
rnacentral:rRNA from 1 species